GCUCAACCGAGGAAGUGCUUCGAAAACUGGUAAACUUGAGUGCAGAAGAGGAAAGUGGAACUCCAUGUGUAGCGGUGGAAUGCGUAGAUAUAUGGAAGAACACCAGUGGCGAAGGCGGCUUUCUGGUCUGUAACUGACGCUGAGAUUCGAAAGCAUGGGUAGCAAACAGGAUUAGAUACCCUGGUAGUCCAUGCCGUAAACGAUGAGUGCUAAGUGUUGAAGGGUUUCCGCCCUUCAGUGCUGCAGCUAACGCAUUAAGCACUCCGCCUGGGGAGUACGAUCGCAAGAUUGAAACUCAAAGGAAUUGACGGGGGCCCGCACAAGCGGUGGAGCAUGUGGUUUAAUUCGAAGCAACGCGAAGAACCUUACCAGGUCUUGACAUACCAUGAAAAGCUUAGAGAUAAGUCUUUCCCUUCGGGGACAUGGAUACAGGUGGUGCAUGGUUGUCGUCAGCUCGUGUCGUGAGAUGUUGGGUUAAGUCCCGCAACGAGCGCAACCCUUAUUAUCAGUUGCCAGCAUUCAGUUGGGCACUCUGGUGAGACUGCCGGUGAUAAACCGGAGGAAGGUGGGGACGACGUCAAAUCAUCAUGCCCCUUAUGACCUGGGCUACACACGUGCUACAAUGGUCGGUACAACG
rnacentral:rRNA from 1 species